rnacentral:rRNA from 1 species
GGAGGGGGCGAGCGUUAUUCGGAAUUAUUGGGCGUAAAGGGCGCGUAGGCGGCCCGAUAAGUCAAAGGUGAAAUCCCUCGGCUCAACUGAGGAACUGCCUUUGAAACUGUCGGGCUUGAGGCCGGGAGGGGGUGGCGGAAUUCCCAGUGUAGCGGUGAAAUGCGUAGAUAUUGGGAGGAACACCAGUGGCGAAGGCGGCCACCUGGACCGGUUCUGACGCUGAUGCGCGAAAGCGUGGGUAGCAAACAGGAUUAGAUACCCUGGUAGUCCACGCUGUAAACGAUGGGUGCUCGGUGUCGCGGGUAUCGACCCCUGCGGUGCCUUAGCUAACGCGUUAAGCACCCCGCCUGGGGAGUACGGUCGCAAGGCUGAA